AUAUAUUGAUCCAAAGAUGAAGUUAUCGGCCAUUUUCUGCUGGUAAGAAGACAAAAAUUAUAAUUUCCUUUACUUGUUUUUUCAUAAAUUCUAGCUAAUUCUAAGCAAUUAUGCAAGACUGAUGCUGUUUUAUAAAAUAUAAUACUCCUUCUACCCCUGUGUUUCUGUAGGCCCAACGAAGCGAAUCUAAAAGCUAUUGCAGCAAGUAGUGACACUGGAUUAAUUACAGUUACUGAAGGAAGAAAUGUACAAAAAAGAGAUGUGUAUGCAAUGGCUAUCGGUGCAUUAACUUUACUUGGUAACGUUUUAUUCACGAUUGCAAAAAGUAUCCUUCAUAAAUUCUAACAACAAUGUAAAAGAUGAUGAAUAUGAAACAGAGUUAAUAAAUUUUCAUUUAAUAACGUACA